CGUACCCACUCUGUGCGUGUGUUUUGUCAGGGCAAGACGCUCGGACUGUGUGGAGAUCUCCCUGGCGAGGGUCUUCGAGAGCGGCCAGGCCUACCUGGUUCUGUCUCAAGCCAGGAGCCUGGAGGACCUAAGGGUCAUGGACUUUGAUCCCCAUGUGGUCCGAGCCGACCCCGACAUGCUGUUCUUCUACAGGAAGCGGAGGAAAGAGUGAUUACUGCUACAGGCUUCGAUGGAUAAGUUUGUCUGCAAAAAUAACCAGGAGAACUAUUGUGAUGGUCUCUAUUUUUACAACCGUAUACAUCAAGGACCUGCACUGCCAACGACUGUUUCUGUG